rnacentral:rRNA from 1 species
GACGAACGCUGGCGGCGUGCUUAACACAUGCAAGUCGAACGGAAAGGCCCCAGCUUGCUGGGGUACUCGAGUGGCGAACGGGUGAGUAACACGUGGGUGAUCUGCCCUGCACUCUGGGAUAAGCCUGGGAAACUGGGUCUAAUACCGGAUAGGACCGUGCUUUAGUGUGUGCGGUGGAAAGUUUUUCGGUGCAGGAUGAGCCCGCGGCCUAUCAGCUUGUUGGUGGGGUAAUGGCCUACCAAGGCGGCGACGGGUAGCCGGCCUGAGAGGGUGUACGGCCACAUUGGGACUGAGACACGGCCCAGACUCCAACGGGAGGCAGCAGUGGGGAAUAUUGCACAAUGGGCGCAAGCCUGAUGCAGCGACGCCGCGUGGGGGAUGACGGCCUUCGGGUUGUAAACCCCUUUCGGCAGGGACGAAGCUUUUGUGACGGUACCUGCAGAAGAAGCACCGGCUAACUACGUG